rnacentral:rRNA from 1 species
ACGCUAGCUACAGGCUUAACACAUGCAAGUCGAGGGGCAGCAUUUUAGUUUGCUUGCAAACUAAAGAUGGCGACCGGCGCACGGGUGAGUAACACGUAUCCAACCUGCCGAUAACUCGGGGAUAGCCUUUCGAAAGAAAGAUUAAUAUCCGAUAGUAUAUUAAAACCGCAUGGUUUUACUAUUAAAGAAUUUCGGUUAUCGAUGGGGAUGCGUUCCAUUAGUUUGUUGGCGGGGUAACGGCCCACCAAGACUACGAUGGAUAGGGGUUCUGAGAGGAAGGUCCCCCACAUUGGAACUGAGACACGGUCCAAACUCCUACGGGAGGCAGCAGUGAGGAAUAUUGGUCAAUGGACGAGAGUCUGAACCAGCCAAGUAGCGUGAAGGAUGACUGCCCUAUGGGUUGUAAACUUCUUUUAUAUGGGAAUAAAGUAUUCCACGUGUGGGAUUUUGUAUGUACCAUAUGAAUAAGGAUCGGCUAACUCCGUGCCAGCAGCCGCGGUAAUACGGAGGAUCCGAGCGUUAUCCGGAUUUAUUGGGUUUAAAGGGAGCGUAGGUGGAUUGUUAAGUCAGUUGUGAAAGUUUGCGGCUCAACCGUAAAAUUGCAGUUGAAACUGGCAGUCUUGAGUACAGUAGAGGUGGGCGGAAUUCGUGGUGUAGCGGUGAAAUGCUUAGAUAUCACGAAGAACUCCGAUUGCGAAGGCAGCUCACUAGACUGCAACUGACACUGAUGCUCGAAAGUGUGGGUAUCAAACAGGAUUAGAUACCCUGGUAGUCCACACAGUAAACGAUGAAUACUCGCUGUUUGCGAUAUACAGUAAGCGGCCAAGCGAAAGCAUUAAGUAUUCCACCUGGGGAGUACGCCGGCAACGGUGAAACUCAAAGGAAUUGACGGGGGCCCGCACAAGCGGAGGAACAUGUGGUUUAAUUCGAUGAUACGCGAGGAACCUUACCCGGGCUUAAAUUGCAUUUGAAUAAUCUGGAAACAGGUUAGCCGCAAGGCAAAUGUGAAGGUGCUGCAUGGUUGUCGUCAGCUCGUGCCGUGAGGUGUCGGCUUAAGUGCCAUAAUGAGCGCAACCCUUAUCUUUAGUUACUAACAGGUCAUGCUGAGGACUCUAGAGAGACUGCCGUCGUAAGAUGUGAGGAAGGUGGGGAUGACGUCAAAUCAGCACGGCCCUUACGUCCGGGGCUACACACGUGUUACAAUGGGGGGUACAGAAGGCAGCUACCUGGCGACAGGAUGCUAAUCCCAAAAACCUCUCUCAGUUCGGAUCGAAGUCUGCAACCCGACUUCGUGAAGCUGGAUUCGCUAGUAAUCGCGCAUCAGCCAUGGCGCGGUGAAUACGUUCCCGGGCCUUGUACACACCGCCCGUCAAGCCAUGAAAGCCGGGGGUACCUGAAGUACGUAACCGCAAGGAGCGUCCUAGGGUAAAACUGGUAAUUGGGGC